GCAAGUCGAACGAUGAAGCCCAGCUUGCUGGGUGGAUUAGUGGCGAACGGGUGAGUAACACGUGAGCAACGUGCCCAUAACUCUGGGAUAACCUCCGGAAACGGUGGCUAAUACUGGAUAUCUAACACGAUCGCAUGGUCUGUGUUUGGAAAGAUUUUUUGGUUAUGGAUCGGCUCACGGCCUAUCAGCUUGUUGGUGAGGUAAUGGCUCACCAAGGCGACGACGGGUAGCCGGCCUGAGAGGGUGACCGGCCACACUGGGACUGAGACACGGCCCAGACUCCUACGGGAGGCAGCAGUGGGGAAUAUUGCACAAUGGGCGAAAGCCUGAUGCAGCAACGCCGCGUGAGGGAUGACGGCCUUCGGGUUGUAAACCUCUUUUAGUAGGGAAGAAGCGAAAGUGACGGUACCUGCAGAAAAAGCACCGGCUAACUACGUGCCAGCAGCCGCGGUAAUACGUAGGGUGCAAGCGUUGUCCGGAAUUAUUGGGCGUAAAGAGCUCGUAGGCGGUUUGUCGCGUCUGCUGUGAAAUCCCGAGGCUCAACCUCGGGUCUGCAGUGGGUACGGGCAGACUAGAGUGUGGUAGGGGAGAUUGGAAUUCCUGGUGUAGCGGUGGAAUGCGCAGAUAUCAGGAGGAACACCGAUGGCGAAGGCAGAUCUCUGGGCCAUUACUGACGCUGAGGAGCGAAAGCAUGGGGAGCGAACAGGAUUAGAUACCCUGGUAGUCCAUGCCGUAAACGUUGGGCGCUAGAUGUGGGGACCAUUCCACGGUUUCCGUGUCGUANCUAACGCAUUAAGCGCCCCGCCUGGGGAGUACGGCCGCAAGGCUA
rnacentral:rRNA from 1 species